rnacentral:rRNA from 1 species
UUAAAUUGAAGAGUUUGAUCAUGGCUCAGAUUGAACGCUGGCGGCAGGCCUAACACAUGCAAGUCGAACGGUAGCACAGAGAGCUUGCUCUCGGGUGACGAGUGGCGGACGGGUGAGUAAUGUCUGGGAAACUGCCUGAUGGAGGGGGAUAACUACUGGAAACGGUAGCUAAUACCGCAUAAUGUCGCAAGACCAAAGAGGGGGACCUUCGGGCCUCUUGCCAUCGGAUGUGCCCAGAUGGGAUUAGCUAGUAGGUGGGGUAACGGCUCACCUAGGCGACGAUCCCUAGCUGGUCUGAGAGGAUGACCAGCCACACUGGAACUGAGACACGGUCCAGACUCCUACGGGAGGCAGCAGUGGGGAAUAUUGCACAAUGGGCGCAAGCCUGAUGCAGCCAUGCCGCGUGUAUGAAGAAGGCCUUCGGGUUGUAAAGUACUUUCAGCGGGGAGGAAGGUGUUGUGGUUAAUAACCGCAGCAAUUGACGUUACCCGCAGAAGAAGCACCGGCUAACUCCGUGCCAGCAGCCGCGGUAAUACGGAGGGUGCAAGCGUUAAUCGGAAUUACUGGGCGUAAAGCGCACGCAGGCGGUCUGUCAAGUCGGAUGUGAAAUCCCCGGGCUCAACCUGGGAACUGCAUUCGAAACUGGCAGGCUAGAGUCUUGUAGAGGGGGGUAGAAUUCCAGGUGUAGCGGUGAAAUGCGUAGAGAUCUGGAGGAAUACCGGUGGCGAAGGCGGCCCCCUGGACAAAGACUGACGCUCAGGUGCGAAAGCGUGGGGAGCAAACAGGAUUAGAUACCCUGGUAGUCCACGCCGUAAACGAUGUCGAUUUGGAGGUUGUGCCCUUGAGGCGUGGCUUCCGGAGCUAACGCGUUAAAUCGACCGCCUGGGGAGUACGGCCGCAAGGUUAAAACUCAAAUGAAUUGACGGGGGCCCGCACAAGCGGUGGAGCAUGUGGUUUAAUUCGAUGCAACGCGAAGAACCUUACCUGGUCUUGACAUCCACAGAACUUUCCAGAGAUGGAUUGGUGCCUUCGGGAACUGUGAGACAGGUGCUGCAUGGCUGUCGUCAGCUCGUGUUGUGAAAUGUUGGGUUAAGUCCCGCAACGAGCGCAACCCUUAUCCUUUGUUGCCAGCGGUCCGGCCGGGAACUCAAAGGAGACUGCCAGUGAUAAACUGGAGGAAGGUGGGGAUGACGUCAAGUCAUCAUGGCCCUUACGACCAGGGCUACACACGUGCUACAAUGGCGCAUACAAAGAGAAGCGACCUCGCGAGAGCAAGCGGACCUCAUAAAGUGCGUCGUAGUCCGGAUUGGAGUCUGCAACUCGACUCCAUGAAGUCGGAAUCGCUAGUAAUCGUAGAUCAGAAUGCUACGGUGAAUACGUUCCCGGGCCUUGUACACACCGCCCGUCACACCAUGGGAGUGGGUUGCAAAAGAAGUAGGUAGCUUAACCUUCGGGAGGGCGCUUACCACUUUGUGAUUCAUGACUGGGGUGAAGUCGUAACAAGGUAACCGUAGGGGAACCUGCGGUUGGAUCACCUCCUUACCUUAAAGAA